AUGGAGGUCAGGUUUCUUCAGUUGAUAUGCUCCAACUGUUUCGACCGAAGCACCAGGACUGUUGAAUAUGGUAACAUCACACUCAGUCGGACUGGAUCCACUUGGAAUGUCUCCACAAAUUCUGGCCCCGAUCCACAGCUGCAUGUUGUUGAAAACAUUCCACAGAACCCUGCUGAGGUCCCUCAGUUGAUCCGAAAUGUGACACAGUCUGCGAGUCAAACACCUAACAAUGCAUUCCAGACACAAAUACUAACAGGUAGCAAUGUUCAAAACCCUGCUAUGGCAUUUAAUAACCCGCAGCAGCUGUUAGAGAUGCAGCGCCAACAACAAAUUCUACAAAUGCACCGACUGGCACUUUUAAAAGAAGAGAGGAACAAAUUAAAUACUUUGAGAAAGCAAUUGCUUCACAUGGAACUCAAAGGGAAUCAAAGACAACCAGCCAGCGAAAUCCCUGACAGCAGAGACCACCAAGGACCUCCGGUAUCUGAAAAACAUCAAACCAGUGCCAAGGCACCGCAGACCACCGCCACAUCAGCUGUGGCGUUCAUGAACGUAGACUCCCUGCGAUCUCUAAUCGAGGAGGUCUUGCAUGUUUCUUCAAAAAGCAAAAGCUGA
rnacentral:sRNA from 1 species